UACGGGGGGGGCAAGCGUUGUUCGGAAUUACUGGGCGUAAAGGGCUCGUAGGCGGCCAGCUAAGUCGGAUGUGAAAUCCCCAGGCUCAACUUGGGAACUGCAUCCGAUACUGGAUGGCUUGAAUUCGGGAGAGGGAUGCAGAAUUCCAGGUGUAGCGGUGAAAUGCGUAGAUAUCUGGAGGAAUACCGGUGGCGAAGGCGGCAUCCUGGACCGACAUUGACGCUGAGGAGCGAAAGCUAGGGGAGCAAACGGG
rnacentral:rRNA from 1 species